rnacentral:tRNA from 1 species
AUUUGAAUAGUAUAAAAAUUACAAUAGGCUUCCAACCUUUAAAUCUAGAAAUAGUUCAAAUA